rnacentral:rRNA from 1 species
UACGAAGGGGGCGAGCGUUGUUCGGAAUCACUGGGCGUAAAGGGUGCGUAGGCGGGUCUUUAAGUCAGGGGGGAAAUCCUGGAGCUCAACUCCAGAACUGCCUUUGAUACUGAAGAUCUUGAGUUCGGGAGAGGUGAGUGGAACUGCGAGUGUAGAGGUGAAAUUCGUAGAUAUUCGCAAGAACACCAGUGGCGAAGGCGGCUCACUGGCCCGGUACUGACGCUGAGGCACGAAAGCGUGGGGAGCAAACAGG